CCUACGGGAGUCAGCAGUGAGGAAUAUUGGUCAAUGGGCGCUAGCCUGAACCAGCCAAGUAGCGUGAAGGAUGACUGCCCUACGGGUUGUAAACUUCUUUUAUAAAGGCAUAAAGUGAGGCACGUGUGCCUUUUUGUAUGUAUUUUAUGAAUAAGGAUCGGCUAAAUCCGUGCCAGCAGCCGCGGUAAUACGGAGGAUCCGAGCGUUAUCCGGAUUUAUGGGGUUUAAAGGGAGCGUAGAUGGGUUGUUAAGUCAGUUGUGAAAGUUUGCGGCUCAACCGUAAAAUUGCAAUUGAUACUGGCAGCCGUGAGUACAGUUGAGGUAGGCGGAAUUCGUGGUGUAGCGGUGAAAUGCUGAGAUAUCACGAAGAACUCCGAUUGCGAAGGCAGCCUACUAAACUGCCACUGACAUUGAUGCUCGAAAGUGUGGGUAUCAAACAGGAUUAGAUACCCUUGUAGUC
rnacentral:rRNA from 1 species